CACCCACAGCAUAUGGAGGUUCCCAGGCCAGGGGUUCAAUCAUAGCUGAAGCCGCCAGCCUAUGCCACAGCCAUAGCAACUUGGGAUCUGAGCCACAUCUGUAAUCUAUACCACAGCUCACCUGAGCGCUGGAUCCCCAACCCACUGAGCAAAGCCAUGGAUUGAACCUGCAAUGUCAUGGUUCCUAGUCAGAUUUGUUUCUGCUGCGCCAUGAUGGGAAAUCCUCCAUUGCCAUGUGAGUUGAAGCUUUAACCUCUUACAAAAUAUCUCUUUCUAAAAGAGGAGUUGGACUCUCUGGAACAAUCAGAAAGUCAUGAGAGAAGAAAAUGGAUUCCCAGUCACAGAUCAAAGGUUGUGUAAAAAAUUUUGUAACUGGCUUGCCAGAAAUAUUAAUGUGGCAGAUGCGUGAGGGAGGGGCCCAGGAUUGGAGAGGAGGACUGAAAAGUGGUUCCCGUAUUCAGGAGGAAGUCAAUAGGCUGUCUUCCUCUUUUAGAGUCACCCAGGGCUCCUGAGUGGUGAUAAGGAUAGGAGCUAUUAUGGAAAUGUCCCAUCAGUCUUGAGGGGUCAACCCCAGAGACCUUCAUCUUCAGGGGCAGUCGCUCUUCCUGUGAUCUCCCCAACAUAUGGGGCAUGGCCUAGGUGCUAUGGUCUGAGUCUUGCGGCAUUCCCCUUUAAAGGGUCCCUCUUUUCCACAGAGGAAACAGGCUCUGGGCAUAGGUCUCUGCCCUAGUCCUUUCACCUUGAAACUCCCAGGUUGACUCCCUGUAGUGCCAUAACUAGAGCCUCAGCCUUUUCUGUCUCUCCUCUUGUUCUCCUUUCAUUCUUCCUGGCCCCGAUUAUAACAUACUUGAGUUCCUACUCUGAGGAGGUGCUCCAGGUCCUGACCAGGGCCAAAAGCCAAUUUUUGGAGCUUUCUCCAUUUAUCUGGCACCAAUUGAGCUAUGAAUUUAUCCUUAAGAAUUAUUCAGCCCUCCAUUGUUUCUGGGUUCCUUGGUGUAUGUUUUCUCAAUGCCUUUCUGAGUCUUUCUAAGAAAGCUGAUGGACUCUCUUGUUCUCCUAGUAAACCUCUGAUAGUUUUUAAUAGGCUUUACUCAUGAGGCUUUUAAUCCCUCAACUAUACAAGUAAUAAAAUGAUUUCUAUGCCAAUUAUGGUUAUCUCCCUCAUCAACAGACCAAUUGGGAUCGCUCAUAGGAACUGCCUGACACCCUGUGGGGAAUCUUGUUCAUUCAUCUUCUAAUCCGCCUCUGGCAUUUAUAGCAUCAUUCCAUUCAUCUUCCCCAGCUUUGAGCAGUUUUGAAGACUUUAUGUAUUUUUUCCACCUAUACUCAAUGUCUGUUUUCAUAAUAACAUGACAUCCUUCCAGGCUAACUCAAAGAACUGCAUGAGACCCUGAAAGACCUCAAUAUAUCUGGGUCAUCAGCAAAUUUUCCCAAAUCUGUUUUUAUUUGCCUUAAGUCCGGAAGUGAAAUAGGUGUAUGGGCCUGUAUUUGGUCCCCAUUCUCUGUUUGCUACUUCUUGUAAAGGGAGUAGAGAGAUAUAUAACUUUGGCGCUGGAGGGGGGAGAGGAGGAGCCUUGAGCAGUAUUGGAGAAGGCUCAUUAACUUCUGGCUAAUUGAAGAAUAGUAUUAUAAGCUAGAGAGCUUUCAGACAGCCAUCACUCUCCAUCUGACAGAUUAUAUACAUCCAGUGCCUAUUGUCCCUUCUUGGUUAUGUGAGGGCAUCCCCUCUCUUAUAUGGAUCAGCUAGACAUUAGUGGUCAAAUGUCCCAUCCAACCUCAGGCUGACUGGAAUUAACCACUCUUUACCAGUGUAGUCUGUUUUCCCAUCAUCCCUGCCUAUUGCCUGUCUCUGGACAGAAGUAAAGAAAACCCAGGCAUACAGGCCCUGCCCUGAGUUUUCGAAUCCUAAGAUGCUCACUAUGACAUGCCCUCUAUUAAUAUUAGGAAAGUUUCUAAGCCACAGUUAACAGGUAAAUUGGAUGAACAGCAGAAAGCCAAACUGACUAUGCUGAGGCUCUGAGGCUAAACACUUGGCCUAAAUUGGAUGAAUACUAGCUAUGAACUCCUUUUCCCCACAGGCCUGGUGGCAACUCAGGAUGGUCUUAGCAUCUAGAAGUCUAUUUCCUUUGCCCCCACAGGGGCAAUAGCAAAGGACGUGAUGAAAGAUCAGGUUAGUUUUAUACCAUAAUCUUCAGAAAAUCCCUUUUUGAAAUCUUUGAUCACACAGUCUACAACCAUGGAUUUAGACUUGGGCGAACCCCUGGUGUCUUUCUGUGGAUCUUGUCUAUGGCCUGAUAUUAUGAGACCUUCUCUGACCUAGUGAGCAGUAUCCCCAGUAGCUUUGCCUCCGCCACUCUUGAAAGCAAGACAGCUCCCACUCAGCUCGCUCUAUGACCAGGGAUAACACCUGCUUUGUUGCAAUAUCUCUGAUCCAUCUGGGCCCCCAGUCUCGGGAAGGCACUCUCAGACAACUUCUAAUGUUUUGGGCAAAGGACAGGGGACCUGGUACUCAAUCCUCCCUAUACCCUGAACUGAGACGGGGAUGACAGUCUUGUCUCCAUUACUCAGAUCCUGGGCCUAAGUGAACUGACAAAAUGGGCAGUCCCAUGGCUGGUUUGGAAUCUGGGCCAGGAGUUCCUGGAGGCCCAGGGGCAAGGUCAAGUUAGAUUAUCUCCUCAGAGGAAGUUAUGUCUCACAAGACGGGAGCACAGGGUCUCUGGCUCAUGGGUUUCUGGGUUAGGUCCCACCCCAUGUGGCUGCCCUGUGCAAGUGACACAGACAAAACAAGGGAGCAUGCCCCCUUCUCAGAAUGUCUGCCUGACCGCCCCCCUCUCAGGAGUUUAGGUGCCUCUUAGCAAUUUGCUUGUUCAUAUAAGCCCUGAACUUGGAUUGGACUCACAGGGAGGGAAGAGAACCCCCAGAGUCUGCUUCAGCCAUAAGCCGUAUGAGGACCCACUCGGACUGCAGGUUAGGACCCACUUGGACUCCGGACUCCGUAACUGCUAAGACCAUGGAGUCACAAAUUCGAACCUGAAGUGCAAGCGAAUCAGGCCGCUCAUUCACUCUCACAUGCACUCAGAGGUUAUCACAAUGCCUCCCACUCCCUGGGAGUCCAUAAGGAGUAGCUCGAUCAAGCACAACUUUCAAUCAGCUGCACCUGACAGUUGCUCCACCCAAGCAAGAGGUUCCUCUGUUUGGCUCUGGAGCACUAGGACUACUACUCUGGUCAGGCACAGUUUCUGGAGGGGGAGAGUCUCCCUAAGAGGGUGAUCAGUCCCCUCUUCUGCCCACUGGGGCAGGACCUGACUGGGGUUUGCCCCGGGGCCUUACCUUGUCCGGAUGCCUUUCUGGUGAGUUGGUCUGUCUCUCCACUGAGUCCAGUCGGGGUUUGGUCACCUGGGAGUCAGGAAUGCCACUCACAAAGGAGGACCCAGAAUACCAUCAGGUGAUGUGCCGCCUCAUUGGGUUUGAGGCUCCCGGGCGGCCUUGCCUCUAUUCCAGUGGCUCAAGGGGUCAGAACGGUUGGAAUCUCUCUGGGGCCUCCAGAAAUGUUGCAGUGGCUGUCAGCAGCCCAAGGCCGGAGUGUACCAGCUCCAGCAGCUCUGUGGCUGCAGUGGAUCAGCUCUUUUACCUGGCGAGAAACUAAGUGAGCACUUGGAGAGUUGGAGAACUCAGGUUUAUUACGCCAGCGGGCUCAGAGGAGAUCACUCUCCAGAGUCUGAGCCCCAAAGAGGGGUUUCACAAGGCUUUUAUGGGCUAGUUCUUCCAGGUCCAUGCUUGGCGGACUGGAGUGAGAACUGGCAAAGUAAUAGAUGUGGGGGUAAGUUUUACAGAAGCAGAUGUGUGGGGGAGGGGUGAUUAGAGGUAGUUGGCUGGGUUGGGGCAGUUUGGCCAGAUUUUGCUUAGUUAUCAUGGCUGGGGUGUCUCCUUUCGACCUUUUUGUCAGGACAUUUUCCCCUACAGGAGAACUCAGAUUUAUUACGCCAGCGGGCUCAGAGGAAAUCACUCUCCAGCAUCCGAACACCGAAGAAGGGUUUCACAAGGCUUUUAUGGGCUACCUCUUCUGGGUCCAUGCUUGGCUGGUUGGACUGGAGUGAGGUCAGGCAAGGUAGUAGAUGCAAAAACUAGUUUACAGAAGAUGUGUGGAGGAGGGGUGGUUGGGGCAGUUGGCUAGACUUUGCUUAGUCAUCAUGGCCGGGUCUCUCCUUUCUGCCUUUUUAUCAGGACAUUUUCUCCUACAGUUUUAGUGUUAUCCUCCAGCAUUGGGAUGAGCAGAUGGAUUUUUUUUUUCCCUAAUGACUUGUAAAACUUUAUCUACUAUGAAUGUGUAUUCCAAAUAAUAUUUUCCAGAAUGUAGAAGAACCAAAACUUUAUACCCUCCUGUCAGAAAUGUGAACUUGCACAACUAUUUUGGAAAACAAUUUGACAGGUUUUCUUUUCUCUCUCUCUCUCUUUAUAUAUAUA
rnacentral:lncRNA from 1 species